UACGUAGGGUGCGAGCGUUGUCCGGAAUUAUUGGGCGUAAAGGGCUCGUAGGCGGUUUGUCGCGUCGGGAGUGAAAAUCCAGGGCUUAACUCUGGACUGGCUUCCGAUACGGGCAGACUAGAGGUAUGCAGGGGAGAACGGAAUUCCUGGUGUAGCGGUGAAAUGCGCAGAUAUCAGGAGGAACACCGGUGGUGAAGGCGGUUCUCUGGGCAUUACCUGACGCUGAGGAGCGAAAGCAUGGGGAGCGAACAGG
rnacentral:rRNA from 1 species